UACGUAGGGGGCAAGCGUUGUCCGGAUUUAUUGGGCGUAAAGAGCGUGUAGGCGGCCAGAUAGGUCAGCUGUGAAAACUCGAGGCUCAACCUCGAGAUGUCGGCUGAAACCAUCUGGCUAGAGUCCGGAAGAGGAGAAUGGAAUUCCCGGUGUAGCGGUGAAAUGCGCAGAUAUCGGGAGGAACACCCGUGGCGAAGGCGGUUCUCUGGGACGGUACUGACGCUGAGACGCGAAAGCGUGGGGAGCGAACAGG
rnacentral:rRNA from 1 species